UCCUACACAUUCCGCACACUGAAAUCUGCAUUAUCCUUCCUAGAGACUGGAAAGGUAUCAAGGAAUGCAUUUAUUCAAAGGACAAGUGUUCAUGAUUUGUACUCCUUUGAAAUAUCUGCAGAUAUGCAUGAAAGUUUACGGAACAGAUUAAUAGUAAAUGAGAAGCCUUAUCAGGAGCCCACAAGAUCAUCUCGGUCGAGGCGAGCAUCAAAAAUAGAACAAGAUCAAAAUAUAGAUGACACAAAAGAUGGUGAUACUUCAAGUGGCUCAGAUUCACCAAAUGAGUCUGAAUAAGAAAACAUGAGAAGCAAGAAGGCUGCUGGCAGAAAAAGCAACUAGCUCAACAAACAAUGUCUGUCGUCCAGCAGGAAGGCCACCUCAAUUCAGGAUUAAGGAGGGGAUAGACAAUAAGGAUGCAGACUAUAAUGAAACUUCUUGCACACUACAUACCAAUAAAAUUUCACCAAAAACUGUUGUUCUGGUUUGUUGUUAUUUUUAGUGUCUUGUCAUUUUCAAAUAAUUCAUUGCAAAACUAAAGUUGCAUUAUCUCAUGUGAGACUGCAGAAUUUGUUAUCGUUAAUGCUUCAAGUGCACGGAGUGCUAAUAAAUUUCUUUUGAAUA